UUUUGCCCCUUUAAUAGUUGAACAUAACACGGGAAUUUUAGCAUGUGUUGCUUGUCAUUAAGAAGAGAGUUCUGUGCCUUUUUUCACCUGGGAAUACUAAGGGGGUAAAGUCCAAAACAGUCAGUAACAGUGGAGGAAGAACUACUCAGAGUGUGUGAUAGGCAAGGAGAAAACUAGCUCGGUGACUCCUGAAGACAUUAAAAGAAGCACACUGUUUUUUAUUAAGGUGGAAGAUGUUCCUCACCAAACCAUGUUGCAUGAAACAAAUGUUCAUGGACUGAAACUGACAAGGACCCUUUUCUGGUAUUCUUUUAAAAUGUUCAAUAAACCUUGAUACAGAUAACAGUUUCAAGGGAAAGCAGCUCUCAUUGACAAAAGACUUGCUUGGGAUGCAGAGAUGUGCACCUGCUAUUUUGUCCACCG
rnacentral:lncRNA from 11 species